AAUUGUCAUGCACUUGAUUUAGGAAAUAAUAUUUUACAUGUGUGGGUGUGGCUGUAUUCCUCUGUGUGUUGGGUUUGAGAGUUCCCGAUCCAAUGUGUGUAGUUGGAGCGCUUGCUAGGAGGUGCAGGCCUUGUGAAGCAUGUUGUGAAGCUUGAAGUUUGGGGCCAUCAGAUAGUGGUUCGUGUAAGGAAGGUUGUAUUUGUGGGUGUUGCCAAUUUGUGCAGCAAAUGUUUUGUGCCGAUCUGCGGAAUUGAGGGUGCUUAACUCAGCUGUUGUGUUGAUUUUAGUCUUGAGGAAGAAGAUACAAGACUAUGCUUAGGGUGUGAAGUCAGGUGAUGAGAACCUCGGAAAACGAUGGUCCGAUAUGGACGCAGUUCCCCCACUACUGGAGUUACCAAAUUCGGGUGAAGAGGUGCAAGCUGGACAACGCAAGAAUCUUGCGAUAGACUGGAUAAGCGAUAUGCAAUGUUCGCCUAGUUCCCCGGAGAUUUGGUUCUCUCUAGACGACUUUGAGGACGUCGGUAUUUAGUCGGUUGCGGAGGCUCAAUCUUCACAGCCUGUCAGCACUCACUCAGAGGGUGAUGCCUUGCAACAGGGUCCGAGGCUCAUGGAGUUUCCUGUUGCUUUGAUGGAGGAGACAUAAUUCGUUGAUGAGGGUUUGGAGUCGGGUGAUGAGAAGCUCGGAAAACGAUGCGUUGAUAUGGACGCAGUUCUUUCAUUACCGGUGUUACCAGAUUCGUUGAACGACAGUUCAUUUGAGUGGUGUUCCCAGAAGUCUUUGCCCUUUCUAACCGGCAUGCCAUCUGAGUUGCUUUCCCGGGAGUCUUUGGACUGUAAUGAUCUUUGAUCCUUCUUAACUUGGGACAAGGCGGUUACCAAGGUAUGUAUUUGUUCUAUGCUUUUAUGAACCAGUUAUGGUAAUGAGAUCAAGUGGAGAUGUGAUCACGAAGUAAUUGUGAAUUGCGGUUGGCUUAGUUGCUAUUCAAGUCAAGGAUUUUGAAUUAUAAUGAAAAAGGCUGGUGUUUGAACUUGACUUGUGAUCUUGGAGUUAGAUAACUUCGAUGUUGAAGCUCAAUCAUUAAUUAUAUUUGUGCAAUUCUUAUCACAUCAUCUUCUAUUUUUGUUAUUUAAGCCAAAAAUGGCACAAUAUGAAAACCUUAGGAGAGAUUUGGGUAUA